GAUGAACGCUGGCGGCGUGCUUAACACAUGCAAGUCGAACGAAGCACUUUAUUUGAUUUCCUUCGGGACUGAUUAUUUUGUGACUGAGUGGCGGACGGGUGAGUAACGCGUGGGUAACCUGCCUUGUACAGGGGGAUAACAGUUGGAAACGGCUGCUAAUACCGCAUAAGCGCACAGCAUCGCAUGAUGCAGUGUGAAAAACUCCGGUGGUAUAAGAUGGACCCGCGUUGGAUUAGCUAGUUGGUGAGGUAACGGCCCACCAAGGCGACGAUCCAUAGCCGACCUGAGAGGGUGACCGGCCACAUUGGGACUGAGACACGGCCCAAACUCCUACGGGAGGCAGCAGUGGGGAAUAUUGCACAAUGGGCGAAAGCCUGAUGCAGCGACGCCGCGUGAGCGAAGAAGUAUUUCGGUAUGUAAAGCUCUAUCAGCAGGGAAGAUAAUGACGGUACCUGACUAAGAAACACCGGCUAAAUACGU
rnacentral:rRNA from 1 species